rnacentral:tRNA from 1 species
GCCUUCUGAGUAUGAUACAGUACAGUUGCCUUCCAAGCAAAAAGAUUAAAAUAUUUUAAAGAGGGUA